AAACUUUCAACAACGGAUCUCUUGGUUCUGGCAUCGAUGAAGAACGCAGCGAAAUGCGAUAAGUAAUGUGAAUUGCAGAAUUCAGUGAAUCAUCGAAUCUUUGAACGCACAUUGCGCCCCCUGGUAUUCCGGGGGGCAUGCCUGUUCGAGCGUCAUUUCAAC
rnacentral:rRNA from 7 species